rnacentral:rRNA from 1 species
UUGCCUCUUGGUCUGGGACAACUGUUGGAAACGACAGCUAAUACCGGAUAUUAUGAGAUUCUCGCAUGGGAAACUUAUGAAAGCUAUAUGCGCCAAGAGAGAGCCUUGCGUUCCAUUAGCUAGUUGGUGGGGUAACGGCCCACCAAGGCGACGAUGGAUAGCCGGCCUGAGAGGGUGAACGGCCACAAGGGGACUGAGACACGGCCCUUACUCCUACGGGAGGCAGCAGUGGGGAAUAUUGGACAAUGGACCAAAAGUCUGAUCCAGCAAUUCUGUGUGCACGAUGAAGGUCUUCGGAUUGUAAAGUGCUUUCAGUUGGGAAGAAGCAAGUGACGGUACCAACAGAAGAAGCGACGGCUAAAUACGUGCCAGCAGCCGCGGUAAUACGUAUGUCGCAAGCGUUAUCCGGAUUUAUUGGGCGUAAAGCGCGUCUAGGCGGAAAAAUAAGUCUGAUGUUAAAAUGCGGGGCUCAACUCCGUAUUGCGUUGGAAACUGUUUUUCUAGAGUACUGGAGAGGUGGGCGGAACUACAAGUGUAGAGGUGAAAUUCGUAGAUAUUUGUAGGAAUGCCGAUGGAGAAGUCAGCUCACUGGACAGAUACUGACGCUAAAGCGCGAAAGCGUGGGGAGCAAACA